GUGAUGCUUGCAAGAAUAAAAGAAACAGGAGACCUCUAUGCUGUGAAGGUGCUAAAGAAGGACGUGAUUCUGCAGGAUGAUGAUGUGGAAUGCACCAUGACCGAGAAAAGGAUCCUGUCUCUGGCCCGCAAUCACCCCUUCCUCACUCAGUUGUUCUGCUGCUUUCAGACCCCUGGUUUCCGGUCCCCCAUGGAAAAGAAGACCAAGUGCACAGAUCCAUCCCAGCCCUACACAAUGAUACUGGAAAGCUGUAUGUGGACCAGAAAUGCCAAAGGAGGUUCCAUCAGGAAGAGGGGACUUGUGCUCUGACUCUGCUGUACCCCUGAUCAUAUGUUACCACUUAUUUAUGCUUUAAAGAACA
rnacentral:sRNA from 1 species